UGAGGAAUAUUGGUCAAUGGACGCAAGUCUGAACCAGCCAAGUAGCGUGCAGGAUGACGGCCCUAUGGGUUGUAAACUGCUUUUAUAUGGGGAUAAAGUGGGGAACGUGUUCCCUUUUGCAGGUACCAUAUGAAUAAGGACCGGCUAAUACCGAGCCAGCAGCCGCGGUAAUACGGAAGGUUCGGGCGUUAUCAGGAUGUCUUGGGUUUAAAGGGAGCGUAGGCAGUUUGGUAAGCAUGUUGUGAAAUGUAGAGGCUCAACUUCUCGAUUGCAGCGCGAACUGUCAGACUUAAGUGCUCACAACGUAGGCGGAAUUCAUGUUGUAGCGGUGAAAUGCUUAGAUAUCAUGAAGAACUCCGAUUGCGAAGGCAGCUUACGGGAGCGCAACUGACGCUGAAGCUCGAAGGUGCGGGUAUCGAACAGG
rnacentral:rRNA from 1 species